rnacentral:lncRNA from 1 species
ACAAAGACCCUCAUUCUGCCUGACACUGGAGACGGUGUCCUGAUAGAGCGAAGUCUGUGUCCUGGGACGGCCCUGUGCCAGCCAGCAAGAGAUGAUCCAUGCGUCCUGGCGUUGUCUUGGUUGUCCAGUGAUGUUGCUUCAUGAAUCAGGAUAGACUAGAGGCAACUACUGUAACCAAGAGAAGGCUCAAACCGGUGUCCCCAAAGGAUCUCUGAGGCCAAGUAGGAGCUGCG